GGAGUCUAGCAUGUGCGCGAGUCAUUGGGACACGAUUAAACCUAAAGGCGUAAUGAAAGUGAAGGCUCGCCCUGGCGCGAGCCUAGGGAGGAUGGGCUGUUUGUUCCGGCAUCGGCUCCGCACUCCCGGGGCGUCUCGUUCUCAUUGCGAGAAGAGGCGCACCAAGAGCGUACACGCUGGGACCCGAAAGAUGGUGAACUAUGCCUGGUCAGGACGAAGUCAGGGGAAACCCUGAUGGAGGUCCGUAGCGAUUCUGACGUGCAAAUCGAUCGUCGGAACUGGGUAUAGGGGCGAAAGACUAAUCGAACCAUCUAGUAGCUGGUUCCCUCCGAAGUUUCCCUCAGGAUAGCUGGCGCUCGUAGCAUACGAGUUUCAUCCGGUAAAGCGAAUGAUUAGAGGCAUUGGGGUCGAAACGGCCUCAACCUAUUCUCAAACUUUAAAUGGGUGAGAUCUCCGGCUUGCUCGAACUCUUGAAGCCGCGAGACUCGAAUCAGAGUGCCAAGUGGGCCAUUUUUGGUAAGCAGAACUGGCGCUGUGGGAUGAACCAAACGCCGAGUUAAAGCGCCAAAAUCGACGCUUAUGGGAUACCAUGAAAGGCGUUGGUAACUUAAGACAUCAGGACGGUGGCCAUGGAAGUC
rnacentral:rRNA from 1 species